GACGAACGCUGGCGGCGUGCUUAACACAUGCAAGUCGAACGGAAAGGCCCUGCUUUUGUGGGGUGCUCGAGUGGCGAACGGGUGAGUAACACGUGAGUAACCUGCCCUUGACUUUGGGAUAACUUCAGGAAACUGGGGCUAAUACCGGAUAGGAGCUCCUGCAGCAUGGUGGGGGUUGGAAAGUUUCGGCGGUUGGGGAUGGACUCGCGGCUUAUCAGCUUGUUGGUGGGGUAGUGGCUUACCAAGGCAUUGACGGGUAGCCGGCCUGAGAGGGUGACCGGCCACAUUGGGACUGAGAUACGGCCCAGACUCCUACGGUAGGCAGCAGUGGGGAAUAUUGCACAAUGGUCGGAAGCCUGAUGCAGCAACGCCGCGUGCGUGAUGACGGCCUUCGUGUUGUAAACCGCUUUCGCCUGUGACGAAGCGUGAUUGACGGUAAUGGGUAAAGAAGCACCGGCUAACUACGUG
rnacentral:rRNA from 1 species